rnacentral:lncRNA from 1 species
GGUGUUGCCCAGAGACAUAGACCCACCUCUCUGUUCUUUAGAUCGGAUUUUUUGUUAAAUGUUAAGAAGCCGCCAACAAUUUUCAACAACUGGGCAUCAUUUUAUUCAUUUUCAAUAGCAUUUCGAUGGAUAUUUCCAGAGAUCAACAGUGAAAACGACACAUCGUCUCUUCAAUGUUGCUUUUUUUCUUUUCUUUCCAUUCCGUUUCACCAGAAACUUCCAAUUUUACUAAUGCCGGUUGUUUGACUACAACUACCGAUACUAUAGGGAGCUUAAGUCACUUCCGCAUCAUGGGUGCCCGGAAGAACGAAAAAAUGAAUGCAAGUCAAUGGGGCUAAAAUGCUAUUUUCUAAUUCUAAUUUGGCUCCCCAUUUCCUACUGAGUUAAGUCCAAUUUAUAUUUCUCCAUCAGCUCCACAAGGGAGAGACAUGCGCGCACAGGUGGAGAUGAUUUGCCUUCAUACUUCUUCAUCUCCUGGGGAGUGUUGCAAAGCAGUUCCCCGCUAGGACAACAGAGGGCAUAACACUGUUCUGUGGUAUCCUGUCAUGUAUCCGUUCCAAGAUAGUGCAUUUACUGUUGGGAGCCUAAGUAUCAUACUAAUUACUUAUGUUAAUUACAAACUUUUACAAGCUGAUAUAUCUCAAAGCACGUGACUGGCAUGGUCGAAACACCCAUUAGUAGUUUUCAUUUAAAUUGCAGUACAACAUAUGUGUGAUCCAGGGUCUAAGGCAAAGCGGAUUAGAAAAUAACUUGCAUUCAUUUUUUGUUCUUCCGGGGACCCAUGAGCCGACCGGAAAGGGAGGAGACUUAGGCUCCCCAUAACACAUGGACACAAUCUAGUACCAGCAGGGGCUUUUUAAAAAUGUCUUCAGGAAUUUUCUAGUUGUAAACAUGUUGCUGCAGCUCUCAGAUUGGUUUUGCUCCUCCGCUGAGUGCCUCCAAAUCUUCAUUCAGUCGUGGUUUCACAAUGGAUGUGUCUCCAUCCAUGUUGCCAGGCACCAGAGCCAAAGCAAAGACUGCCUCCGUCGCUGGAGUUCAUCCAGAUCAGAAGCUGGACGUCAAUUCGCUGAGAAACCUAUGACCUUCAGCAAUGCAAGUGAAGUAUUUUCUCAACAGCCAGACAGAUGA